CGCAGGCGCGGGCCCGGCGCUCCCUGAGGCGGCGGCGGCGGCUCCGGCGGCUCCUUUGUUCCCCCUGCCGGGACCGGGUUCGGGAUCGCGUUCGGGAUCGGGUCGGGAUGAACCUCGGGAAGGGCUCCGGGAAGGGCUCCGGCUCCGCCUGGCGUUAGGAGCUCGAGGACUGCCAUGCCCUUAGGUGCCCAUUGCCAGCCCCUGCUGUGAGAUGGCCACUCCAGAGCCCCCCCUGGGUGGGACCCCCCGGCCUGGCCCCUCCCCCGGGCCUGGCCCCUCCCCCAGCUCCAUGCUGGGCCCUCCCCCGGCCCCUCCCCUGGCUCCGCCCACUCCGGGC